rnacentral:ncRNA from 3 species
GGCGAGGCAGCCACUGAUGAUU